AACGAACGCUGGCGGCAUGCCUAACACAUGCAAGUCGAACGAGACCUUCGUGUCUUGUGGCGCACGGGUGCGUACCGCGGGGGAACCUGCCCGUAGGUUCGGUAUAACUCCCCGAGAGGGGUGCUAAUACCGGUUAAUGUCUUACGACCUAAGAGUUAUGGCCUUUGGAUGGGCGCGGGUUGGAUUAGCUGGUUGGUAGGGUACAAGCCUGCCAAGGCGACGAUGCAUAGCUGGUCUGAGAGGAUGAUAAGCCACACUGGGACUGAGACACGGCCCACAACGGUACGGGAGGGAGCAGUAGGGAAUAUUGGGCGAUGAGCGAAGGUCUGAUCCAGCAGUGCCGGGUGAGUGAUGAAGGGCUUAGGAUUGUACAGCUCUUUUAGCCGAGAUGAUAGUGACAGUACCGGGAGAAUAAGCACCGGCUAACUACGUG
rnacentral:rRNA from 1 species